rnacentral:piRNA from 1 species
UGUUUAGAUCCUACAAGGGUGUUCUGCUAAUG